GUCCACGCCCUAAACGAUGACGACUAGUUGUUGGAGGAGUUAAAUCCUUUAGUAACGCAGCUAACGCGCGAAGUCGUCCGCCUGGGGAGUACGGUCGCAAGAUUAAAACUCAAAGGAAUUGACGGGGGCCCGCACAAGCGGUGGAUGAUGUGGUUUAAUUCGAUGCAACGCGAAAAACCUUACCUACCCUUGACAUGCUAGGAACUCUGCAGAGAUGCAGAGGUGCCCGAAAGGGAACCUAGACACAGGUGCUGCAUGGCUGUCGU
rnacentral:rRNA from 1 species